CAAAUGUUCCCGUUCUGACAUCCUUUGAGAAAGAGAUGGUGACCGCAGUUGCAGGACUGCAGGUUACCAUCGAUGGUAUGGCAGCUGAACAAGCAACUCAAAGAAAGCUUAUAUCAGCAAGCUGCUAGAAAAAACUGGAGGUGGCUGCACUUCAUCUGAGUUACCGGGCGAUGUCCUUCUGCCAUUGCAAACUAUUGAGCAGGUGGAGGAGCUUGAACUCCUACUUCAGGAGCCAGCACUGAAAAAUACGUUGGAGCCAUUGUGAAGAACCCCACAAUAUCUGCAAAGACAACAGAGGCCGCAGCACAAAAAGAAAUUAUGAUCUGGUUAAGGAAUGCAGGGGAUAGGAAUUGUGGAAGGAAGAAGAGGGAAAUGAUGAAGGCGAAAGAAAAGAAAACUAAUGAAUUGCAUGAAGACUCUGAUGCAUCAUAUGAGUAAUUGUAUUGAUGGUCCAGCAGGAAUUGCGUGAUUGGCAUUACUGUGUAUGUGCGUGUGUGCGGGCGGAUGUGUGUAUAAGUCAGUAUUCAUAUGUGAUAUUUUAUCACUGGUUUUAUUUUGUACAUUUCAAGUCGAGUAUAGCAGACACGCCAACGUUAACAUACAGUAAAACUCGCAUAAGUCGUCAUCGUCUGUCGGCACAAAUAUGCUGGUCCCAGAAGUGUCGACUUGUGCGAGUUUUACUGUAUUUUACAUUAUGUUACUAUUUCUUUUGCUAUGUUAUCUUUAUAAUUAUGCCAUAUAAUAUAUGUUGUACUAGUCUUAUAUGUGUAUAGUGUAUAUAGUAUGUUCAGUAUUAUUUUAUUUGAUGUGUAAUAUUUUGUACAUUUGAAAAUCUGCUAAAAUUAUUGCAAGCUAUAUAUGUUGGCAUACAGAUCCCCGACAUUUACUAUUUUACAUUAUAUUACUAUUUAUUUUGCUAUGUUAUCCUUAUAAUUAUAUGCUAUAUAUCUUUUGUACUAGUCCUAUAUGUGUAUAAUUUUCAGCAUUAUUUUAUUUGAUAUGUAAUAUGAUAUGUGAUUUAUUUUAUUUGAU